AUAUGGAGCAUACGCUUUUUCACUAUAGUAUAUGUUUAAAUUAUUUUUAUUAUUUUUACGUUUACAGAUGUAUCAAAAAAUUAUCAAUCAUUACCUGUCGUCUGUCCGAAUGGUUGCGGUCGUCAAUAUAGUGGUUUAUUUUCUAAAUAUUCAUUAAAGAAACAUUUGCAAUUUGUAUGUGGCGUACAGCCUAAGUUCGUUUGUGCAAUAUGUUUAAAGAAAUUUGCUGUGAAAUACAGCCUAAAAUCGCAUUUAGCAAGGGUCCAUAAUAUAUUCAACAGCUGAACAUUAUUAUCAAUAAACAUUGAACCAUCGGGAGUUCAUCGAUUCCACCAGACCUAUUUGUAUUUGGGAAAAAGUUACAUCGAUUCCGCCAGUACAGGUAAUAUAGUUUAAAAAAACCUUAUCGAUUCCCCUUCCUACAAAUUUAUUAAAAAAUACACUUACAUUUGACUUAGUGUAAGUAAUUAUUACGAUACGACUUGGAUUCAUAUUAUAAUAAACUUUUUUUUUUAUACUUUCCAAUAAUACCUAAAUAAUAUAUAUAUAUUAGUACACUAAUUGUAUUUAAUAUAUGCAUUACUUAUGCCGGGUUAGAUAAACGAUCAAUAAAAAUAACUCGAUAAGGUGUGCUAUCGAUUCGGUAAACUAUUGUAUAAAUAUUUUUUUGGUUCUAUAUAGUUAAGUACUGCUAGUACUGUUACAUAAAAUGUUGAACAUAAAUAUAAUUACUUGAUAACUUACCAAAGUCGUGGUAGUGUGAUAUAUUCAUUAGGUAAAUGAUAACUAGGUCGUUAUUUGUUAUCAUCCUUUUCUUUUAAUGAUACAAUGCAACCGUAAACAGAUGAUGAUGUAUUUAGUUAGAUUGUUAAAUAAAUAACAAAUUAUAAAUAACAAAUUAAAAAAAAAUGUGUAUCCACAGGAUAAAUAAAUUGUCAAUAACCAACAAAUAGGCAAGUAGUGACUAGCGACACCAGGCGAUGGACAUAAAAUAUGAAAGCGUAUUAUCGGUUCAAUAAAGUUUUGUAAUUGUUUUUAUUACUUAUCGAACCACAAUCGGGCCUUCAACUUAUCGAUACGAUACAUUUUAUUGUAUCGAUAAGAGAUUAUUUGUCAAAUCGAUGAAAGAUAAAAGUCGUUGUUGCAACAGCCAAACAUAUCGAACCGAUUACGACGUUAUCAGUUCGAUGACUAGUAAUGGUCGUUUAUGCAAAUGUUAUAUCAAUAUAAAUAUAUAGGUAGUAUAGUAAUUUUAAAUGUUGUGUUAUGAUUUAUAUUUUAGCACAUUAUAACGGUAAUGUAUCAAUUUUUUAUGUAUGUACCUAUAGUUGAAUAAUUAUUCGUUACAUAAUUAAGUCAAAAUAUGUGAGUGUAUUUUUUAAUAAAAUUAAGAAGUAAAACAGAUAACUACAGGUAAAAAUGUGUAAUUGGCGGAAUCAAUAGAUACCCAAACUAACAACAUAACAAUAGGUAAAUCCGGGACAUAAAUUUUUUUUUGAGAGAGCAGAAAGUAUGUAUUAUAUAGGUAGUGUAACGUUUGUUUGAGUACUUUAUACUUAAUACCGUAAUAAUAUUUAUUACUUUAUUUGUUAAAAUACUAUUUGCAAAAUAUAAUACACCAUUUAUUGAAUAAAAACAUUUUUUUAUUCUUUCUAUAUUUCAUGGAAUUCCUGUACUUUCAUGUUUUUUUUUUAUUUAUUUCAAAUAUUCGCCUAAAAUAAUUGCAUAAUUUGCGCAUGUGUUUAUUUAUGUAUUUAUGUUACGUUUACAGCUAAAUUGGUAGUAACACGAAACAUAACUGAUCCAGACUGAUGUUUUAAAUAAAGCGGUCGUUAUUAUUGUUGAUCUAAGUAAGAAGUUAUUUUAAAGAAACAUUUAAAAUUUGAAUGUGGCGUAAAACCUUUAUUACCGUAUGCUAUAUGUGUGUAACAAAAGGUUAAAAUAUAAUACCUAACCAAAUACUCAAUAACUGCUUGACAUCAUAUACCCAACAGAUAUCCGUUAUUUUUUAAAAGAACAUAAUAUUUUAACAUUCACAUUUUUUAUUUUUGUUGAUUUCUGGGAUAUACAAGUCAACUUCAAAAAAAAAAUAACUUCUAAUAUUACUCCGCUCAAAAUCAAUUUUUGAUUGCAAUAGACAAAUUAAAGUGCAUUACAUUAAAAAGUUCUAUCCUUAAAAUCCUCUCCAUAAUUACUCCACUGGUGUAGCGUCUCAAUAGUAUAUUGUUUGUAAUUAUUUAAAAUAAAAUUGAACUUAUUAAAUCAAAUUGUAUUUAUUUAUGUUAUAUAAAAUAUUUCACGGUGUAGACUUUACAUGAUAAUUUAUUUGUAUAAGUUUUUCGAGUAGGUACUUUAAAUUUAAUACCUAUUAUUUAUGUUUUUAUUCAUAUUUAUUAAAGCUGGACCGAUAUCACUUUCUUCCUACAUCUGAUAAACCGAUAGUCGAUUCGAUAUAUUUUUUCAAAAAUCUAUAUAAAUCAUAUGAUAUAUUAAAACAUUUUAAACUUGUGCAAAGAUAAUAAAUUGACACCAUCGACAGAUGUUAAUAAUAUAAUAAUUAAAGUAUUAUCCAAGGUGUAUUUAUUAUUUAUCAGUUUAUCACAUACCUAUAAAUACACUUUGGCAUUAUCUUUAUUGGUGUAGCCACAUUUAUUUAAACUAAGACUCAAUCGAUUAAUGGAAUUUUUUAAAAAAAAGUUAUUACUGCCCGUGAUAAUGAGUUUACCCACUUAAUGGAUUUAAUGUUUUGUGGAGUAUCCAUGUCACUUCUGGUUUAUCAUUUUACUUUUAAAAUUGAAUUAUUUUCUUUGGUUUAAUUUCUAAUAUAUUUAAAAUUGUUAUACAUAAUAUUUACCUUCAGCAGUUACAUAACAUACAAAUUUUGAUUACGUUUACAGAUAAUAUGCAAUACUUAGAUGACCCAGUAUGGUGCCCAAAUAAUUGCGGUCGAUGUUAUAGUGGUCUGCGGCGAAAAUAUACAUUACGAAAACAUUUGAAAUUCGAAUGUGGCGUGGAGCCUAUGUUCUCGUGUACAAUAUGUUUAAAAAAAUUUGCUAGGAAAUCAAACUUGAAACAACAUUUAGGAACGGUGCAUAAAAUAAUAUAUAUAUAGGGAACAACUUGACACUACAUUCUCAAUGAACGUAAUUUCGAGAUGCUGUUUUUUUCUUCCUAGCAUAGAAAUGUAUUAAGUGCAAAUUUUGUUUAGUACUAAGCGUUUAUACCGUUAUAAUAUUAUAAAAACUUGUUAAAAUUGGGAAUGUAAUUCGUUUACUAUAUUUAUUUCAAAUAAGCAUCUGAAAUAAAUUAUUUCGAUUUUUUUAUACAUUUUUAAAUUAUUGUUUUUUAUAUUUAAUUGAUUUUAUGCAUCUUUGUGUUUAUAUAAAAAAAGACGGGUAUGCUACCUUUAUUCUAUUUACUAGAUUAUAAUAUAAUUGAAUAUAAAAUUAUUUCAAAAUUGUUUAAUAAGUAAGUUUAUUUCGUGACACGAAACAAGUGGUUUAUGCAUUUUUUGUUAUAUUACAAAACUCAAUAAACAACAUGUUAUAGUACAUUUUGAGGAAUUAAAUAUUCUAUUAUUGAGUUGUUAUUAACUAAAUUUUAUUUGUUUAUAAAUAUUAAUUAUUUUGCUUCGGCAUUGUAUGUUUAGUAUUUGUCUAAUCAAUUGCAUUGCAAAUGCACUUGUUAAUGUAUCUAUUUCGACUACAUUUUUAGGUUUCAUAUAGAAAGAAUUCAAACAUUACCUUUCCUAGUCGUGUGUCCGAAUAGUUGUAGUCGUCAUUAUAGGGAAACAUUUUCCAAAUAUAAUUUUAAAAUCAUUUGAGACUAAAAUGUGGCGUUGUGCCUACAUUCUUGGGCAUAUGAUAUAUUCAUCUAGAUAUCGUGAUAUAUUCAAAAUGAUUCACUAGAAAUGAAAGUAUAUUGUUGACAAAGCAUCACUAUCAACUAAAUUCCACCCAGAAUCGUUUUUUCGUAAGCAAUGGUUUAUCGUUGCAUAAAGUUAUACAUUAAAUUACCUACAACAGUGGUUGCUCCCGUCUCCAUUAUCCUAGGAUGUCUUUUUAUUUAUAUUAAUUUUAAAUUCUAAUUUUUAAGUGUAUCAAAGCUAUUUGUUCAUUUAGGUAUGUAAGGUUUAUUAUUUUCGGAAUACUCUUUUGGCUAGUAAAAAUGAUCCAAUUACUUUCUACAGUGCCUUUGAUGAUACAGAUUUUCCGAUUAGUGGUACCUAAAUUUAAAUUUCUUUUCCUUUUUCUUAUAUGGAAAACUUAAAAAAAACCGAUCUCUUAUGGUCUUUACAACAUUAAUAAUUUUAAGUUUACUAAUUUCAAUGAUGUAUCGUUAGCCUAUACUAAGAAUGGUAAAUCCAUGGCACGUGAAAAAUUGAAAUAAUUAUUUUAUGUAUUUAUUUUUAAUAAUAUAUAAUGUCGCAAUGUUUAUACUUUUUCAGUAUCAAAGUUAGGAUAGUAUAGGCCCUAUAUUAUUCUAACUUCCUAAAGUUCAUUAUCAGCGGCCGCGAAAUAUAUGUCUGAUUUAUAUUGUUAAAAUAUGUUGUGAAAUGAACAUACUGCUUUUAGGUUAUUAACUUUACUACUAAACUUCCAUUGUUUUCUUUGGUAUAAUGUCAUAUUGUUAUUUUAAAUAUUAAAUAUAUAAAUGAGUUACAUAACAUAAAUUAAUUACAUUUACAGAUAAUAUACUGAAGAAUAAUCUGCAAACCUAUCCUGACCCAGUCUGGUGUUCAAAUAACUGCGGUCGUUAUUAUGGUGGAAAAAAUCGAAAAUGGUCAUUAAGAAGCCAUUUAAAAUACGAGUGUGGAGUAGAACCUAUGUUUUCGUGUACAAUAUGUUUAAAAAAAUUUGCUAGGAACUCAAAUUUGAAACAACAUUUAGGAACGGUGCAUAAAAUAAUAUUUAUAGGGAACAGCUUGUCAAUACAUUCUCAAUGAACAUAAUUUCAGGAUGCUGUUCUUUUCUACUUAGCAUAGAAAUGUAUUAAAUGCAAAUUUUGUUUAGUA
rnacentral:lncRNA from 1 species